rnacentral:misc_RNA from 1 species
GAUGAAGAACGUAGCGAAAUGCGAUACGUAAUGUGAAUUGCAGAAUUCAGUGAAUCAUCGAAUCUUUGAACGCAUAUUGCGCUCUCUGGUAUUCCGGAGAGCAUGCUUGUUUGAGUAUCAGUAAACACCUCAACUUCCAUAUCUUUUUUGAAAUGGGAGUUGGACUUGAGUGAUCCCAACGCUUUUCCUCACCGAAAAGUGGCGGGUUACUUGAAAUGCAGGUGCAGCUGGACUUUUCUCUGAGCUAUAAGCAUAUCUAUUUAGGCUGCCUAAAAAACAGAUUAUUACCUUUGCUGCAGCUAACAUAAAGGAGAUUAGUUCUUGUGCUGACUGAUGCAGGAUUCACAAAGACAGGCUUCGGCCGACUUUGUAAACUCGAUCUCAAAUCAAGUAAGACUACCCGCUGAACUUAAGCAUAUCAAUAAGCGGAGGA